GUGGCCCUGCGUUGAUCGUGAUGGCCAGGAGCGUCGCUUGAGCCAAUGCAUUACACAAGCGAAUCGCAACGUUGCCCCGUGUGCACGCCUCCGCUGAGAGGAAGCCUGACGGGCGACGAGAUCACCAAAGCGGUUCCACCUGCAGACGCAGGUUCAACGACCUCCCCACACGGCAAUGCGGGGCCACU
rnacentral:other from 1 species